GAGUUCAAUAGUACGUGAAACCGUUCAGGGGUAAACCUGAGAAACCCGAAAGGUCGAAAGGGGAGAUUCAUUCGCGGCUCGUCGACUAUACCGAUGGAUCGCGCGACGAUCGGCCACGUGUCGGUCGCGCCUUUCUUUCGUGUUAAUGGUCGUUUCGAACGCGUGCACUUCUCCCCGAGUAGGACGUCGCGAUCCGUUGGGCGUCGGCCUAAGGCCCCGCGGUGGAGCCCGGACGGACGGUUCGCCGUUCCAUCCGGACCCGUGGUGUCCCGGCCGGCUCGCUCGACGGUAAGCAUAAGGCGCUGGGCCGCGACACAGCUCGCGUUCGUCCCGCGGCAAGCACUGCACGUGCGUCGGCGAUCGGACUUGCGCCGAUCCCGGCCCGUGGAGUCUGUUGGCUGCGGUGUUCUCGAACAGACCUAGUCGAAACGCCGAUCUGCGACGCUAUAGCUUUGGGUACUUUCAGGACCCGUCUUGAA
rnacentral:rRNA from 1 species